GUGUUCCUACGGGACGCAGCAGUGAGGAAUAUUGGUCAAUGGUCGGGAGACUGAACCAGCCAAGCCGCGUGAGGGAGGAAGGUACAGAGUAUCGUAAACCUCUUUUGUCAGGGAACAAAGACUGGGACGCGUCCCCGGAUGAGUGUACCUGAAGAAAAAGCAUCGGCUAACUCCGUGCCAGCAGCCGCGGUAAUACGGAGGAUGCGAGCGUUAUCCGGAUUUAUUGGGUUUAAAGGGUGCGCAGGCGGUCUGUUAAGUCAGCGGUCAAAGCCCGGGGCUCAACCCCGGCCCGCCGUUGAAACUGG
rnacentral:rRNA from 1 species